UAGUSUAUGYAGUAGGRGURGSKGGGWAAUCWURKGAARYUUCGWCGUGCUGGGGAUAGAGCAUUGCAAUUAUUGCUCUUCAACGAGGAAUUCCUAGUAAGCGUGAGUCAUCAGCUCGCGUUGAUUACGUCCCUGCCCUUUGUACACACCGCCCGUCGCUACUACCGAUUGAAUGGCUUAGUGAGCCUUUGGGAUUGGCAGCUUGUACCGGCAACGGUAGCAGGCCGCUGAAAACUUAGGCAAACUUGGUCAUUUAGAGGAAGUAAAAGA
rnacentral:rRNA from 1 species